CUUUCUUAUCCCAUGCCUCUCAGAAAGUCAAUUAGAAAAGGCUCCAGGCCAUAACGGACUGCUCCACAGGGAACAUUAUGUCGUCAUCGGUGACCUCUCGGUCAAUAAAUUUAAAAUGGCGUUAUUGUAGGGCAGAACCAGGGAGGCCGGAAAGGGAAAUCAAGCUCGGUUUGAGCUAUGUUGGAAAUUGGGUUUAUUGGAAGAUCAUUUAGUAAUGGCAUUAUUCUAUUUGGAAAACGCCUAUGCUAAGCUAUUGAUUAUAAUAACGAAACAAGGGUGCGAAACUUAUAAAUGCAGUAUAAAGUAAAAUGCAGUCAUAAAAAUGCCAAAACUUAACAAGAAAAUCCUAUGGAAAUUGUUUUUGUUCGAGAUAGAAAACGCAAGCUCGAGAAAUCCUCGAGUGAUAGGGGUACCGAGACAUUUGUCUAGAGUCAUAACGUAGCAAUGUUAUUAGUUCCCUUUGACCUAGCCAAUUUUCCAUCAAACGGCGUGUCAGAAUCGCACUGUUCUGGUUCGGGUGGUUCCAGAUUAAAUGUGGGGCCAAGCUUCUCUUUAAUUCCAUUUCGUGCGCAAUAAAAGCCGUGCUUUGCAUCCUUCCUCGAAGUUUUCUGGAGCUCUACGAUAAUGCGACUCUGACACGCCGUUUAAUCUAGGUCUUAAAUGUUUCUUGCUUCGAAUACUUCCUUGUCUUCUUAAUUCUCACGGGUAUAUGCUGAUGGCUUCCUAUUGAUCACUCAAACGAGCAUUUGUUUCUUAUUUUAGACUUGUUAGGAAAUUGGUACAUCUCUAGUUUGUGGCUAAGCUACUUCCUUGAAACUUUACAAUAAUGUGAUAACGAUAUGGAAUAAUAUUCAAGUAAUUAGCGGCGUCGAUCAAAACUCCUAAAGUACCAAUAAUGGCCAACAAGGCUAUAAUAAAGGUUUAAGUACUGGUUUAUUGGGGCAAUUGGAUUUGUCGGUUAAACUCGUUAAGGGUUGACAGACAUAAUCAAAGACAUUUUUAAUAUAGCCAUUUUGUUCGCCCGAUGUGAUAGCCCACUUCUCUUCCGAUCUCUCGUACGCCCGUGCUGUGUAGGAAAUUCGACUUUGAAAUCGUUUGCCAUACCACUUAUUUGGUUUCAAUUAGUUUUUGAUUAAAAAAAACAUACAAAGGCUACACAGUGUCCUUUUUUUCUGAAAAGAAAGAUAUUUCUAGUUUACCUUGUUUGUUAAUUGAUUUACAACAUCCUAGAACAAUUUUUGGCACUGUUAUUGUGGAUUAUUACUUUAAAGAUUUUUCUUCGGGGGAGUAGAUUUUCCAGGCGCGUACACAGGGGGGUGCACAGGGUUCACACGCACCCCCCUUGGCGGCCAAAAAGUGGGUAAAAUCUUAUUAAGGAAUCUUCAAAUACUAUGUUUUUCAAUAUGAUACAUGUGACUGAACACCGGUUCUUGCUCAUGGCCAAGCAGCAGAGAUACUACAAAUCAAAGUGAUGUACAAGCAGCAGAGAUACUACAAUCAAAGUGAUGUACAAGUAGUAAGGAUAUUUAUCGAGUAAAAUCAGCUAGAAUAUAUGGAAAGGUUAUGGUAAAUUAUGGUUUCUUAAAUUAUUUACAGCAACUUUUGUAAUUGUGUGGAUCCUAGACUAAUGUCUGAUAAAGAAUAUUUUGUCUGGUUUCUGCACAAGGAAACAACUAUAAUAUACAUUUCUAAAACAUUUCUAUACAGUUUCUAUAGGAUGUUACUAAAACGGGGAACGUGGAGCGGGAAACAGGGAGCCGGGAACAGGGAUCUGGGAACGAGUGAUCAGCGGUAGGCACAGCGAUGUAGCAACCUCACGUGCGUCUCUUUGGCUCUUCUCUCGUUAAAAUGGAUGGGUAAGUGAAAUCACUGACUCUGUUUCUAAGAAUUAUGAAUAAUUCAUGCGCCCAUUGAAUCGAAUCUAAUACGUUUUUCUUAUUUUAGUGGAAGGUAUGUUGAAAGGGAUAAUAUGAUAACAGUUUGCUUGGGUAGUUUAGUGCGAGCUAAAAACGCAAUGGUAAACUUGAAAAGAGACUUAUGGAAACAUAUUUUGAAUCCGUGGAUAUUUUUGCAAUCCUACAUUGCCAUGACUUCAAAUUCUCAUCCCAUAGUGAUGAAAAGCACUCUUUACAAAUUUGAGGUGCUAUUUUCAGUAUUUUUAUGAUUAUUGAUGUUGAAUGCUGCUGUUUUCCGUGACCAUGACCCUUCUUUCCUCUAACACCAAGUUGACUGUUUACUAAAUUAGACUAUUGCAAAAUGUUAUUACUUUUCUGGCCCCAUCUUAUUUGUUUCUCUGUAGCAGCUUGCGAUUUUAGCUCGCACUAAAGUUCCCAAGCAAACUGUUAUCAUAUUACCCCUUUCAACAUACCUUUCACUUGACUUGAUCUCUAUCACAUCUAAAAUAAGAGAAACGUAUUAGAUUCGAUUCAAUUGGCGCAUGAAUUAUUCAUAAUUCUUAGAAACAGAGUCAGAGAUUUCACUUACCCAUCCAUUUUAACGAGAGAAGAGCCAAAGAGACGCACGUGAGGUUGCUACAUCGCUGUGCCCGACUUGCAGUAAAGGGAGACGAAAUUCCAUCGGACACGCGAGCGAAAAGUGGUGACAAAAUGCCAUCGAAAUUGCAAACGACAAGAGGUGAAAGGAUGUUAUCGUACUCGCACGCGACAAGGAAUGACGGGAUGGCAUCGGCCACGCAUGCUACAGUGGAGUGACGCGGUGUCCAAUGUUUUGAGUUAAAAAUUGCACGGUAUGCAAAGCUACGAACAGAAAAAGGUAAUCAGCCUAUAUUAUUUCCAUUUGGUUUUUAGCUCUUACCAACUUGGAUAGUUUGUGCUUUAUUGGCCCUCCAAAUUUCCGUCACAUUUGCACCUGGCUGUGCCUUGGAUGUUCCACUUGACGAACUUGCAUCGACCACGCAUCCUUUCUCCGGUUAACACCCACACGUAGGAGUAAAAACUCACAAUCACUUGACAGCUCUGGAAAGGUCCAGACAUGCUCCUACUGUCCACUGCCGGUUUGGUAUUGUCUCAUUCAGAUUGUGAAGAGAUUGUAGGGCAGGCAGUGAGUGUCUGACUCAGUAAUGACCAACGAUGUAAGCAGCGCGCGAGACGUGCUGCAGCAGAGCAGCAGAUAUUGGUGGAGAACCUCUAUUCUGUUUCUCUUUGGCCCUUGCCACAUCCCCCGCCAGGCAAGUGCGGAGGAUGCGGCAAGAGUGUGGAAGGCUUGGUUUACAGAUCCCUUGUCAGGAUGCUGCCGAGUGAGAACAGCACUGGAGUGUCAUUUUCACGAACGCCCCAGGUGUCCUUCUUUCCACUGUUGUAGAACGAGGACACUUGAUCACAACCAGUUAGUUAAUCUGAGCUUUGCUCGCUGAGCAGCUUAUAGCCGCAAGAAACUGAAAUAAGCUUUUCCCAGUUUUCGAGCAUGAUUAAACAGAAAACGUAGAAAAAGUUAGUUUUGAAGUUAAAUUUCGGCGUUGUAUCCUUAUGAAGGAUUCUUUCAGCGUGUAACAGAUGUUUGUACGUGGUGUGAUAUGUAUUAAAGUAAUAGGUAUAUGGCUAACGUCAUUACUCUUCAUUUGUUCUCUAGAUAGACUGUAAGUAUACAUAAUUGGGUGUGGCAUCCUAUGUAUUGUGCAUGUUUGGUAUUUUUUUGUACUUCAAACCAAAAUUUCUCUAGAAUUACUGUAAGUAUUAUUAAAUAAUGGGUGUCUUACCAAUUUUAUAUGAUAGAAAACGCUCAUUUUAAUCAAACUGCAAGGUUUUUUUUAGGAAUGUAUCAUUCUAUGAAAUGUACUUUGUUUUCAUUCAAAGAAUUUAUUUUAUUACAUCCCACCUGUAAUUAUACGAAAUUGGGCGUGGCGUCCUAAGAAGAAAUAAUCACCAUGAAGCAAAAAACAUUUCGCGUGACUUUAAUAUGUACUUAAGUAUUGUGUAUGUCUGGUAUGUAUUUAUAAUCAAAAAACGUAUAUCCUCUAGAAGCGCUGUAAGUAAUAUCAAGAAGGUUUGUCUUACGAAUUAAUACUAAAAGACGUUUAUUGUAAUCAGAUAGCAAGUUCUAAGUUCUGUAUCAUUCAUUAAGAUAUUUUCUUCAUUCAAAGGUUAAUUACAUGCAGCCCUAUAAAACUGGAAGUAUACGUUGUAGGGUGUGGCGUCCUAUUGCAAAUACUUGUGCUGUCAAGAUCUUCCAUCUUGCCAAAUUUCAUGCUUGUACUAAAAAUGUGAACAAUUCGGCAUACUUUAUGCACCAUUUUCCUUUACUAUAAGGCUGAAUAUGUUCUUAACGAUUAACUUUUAGUGUAUAUAAAAAUAUAAUACCCAAUGAAUUAUUGGGAAGAAAAUUACACAAAUGAUCAAUUUAAUUAUGUAUUUUAGAAUAUAUCAGGACUAAAAAAGAAAAGUUUUUUUUCUGCCAUUUGAGCCUUCCCAUUUUUUAGCAACAUGUUCUUAAAAUUUGGUGAAAUCUCAGGCUGGACGUUCUUAUAAAAAGAACGUUCUUAUAAAAGAGUGUAAUGCAAAAAAAAUAAUACGCCCUUUCCUCAUCGCAAUCCAUAACCUGCCUGUUUAGUUAUAAAUAAACAGUUACAAAUAGGAUAAACUUGAUGAGAUUUUUUAUUUCAACAUUUUUCAAUUUCUCGUAGUAACGAAACUACUAAUGAAUAAAUCAGCUUAAAGAUGAUAAAAUGAUACCUUUAGGCUACGAGAGAUAAAACCCAGUUUAAGAUGGGUUACCUACUCGAUUGGGUCAUCAAAGGCGAGUACUUCCCGGUUAUAUGAACCCCUGACCUGGAUCAAACUAAUUACAAUUUCGAAUUCCAGGAAUAAAACAAAGCCCCAUAGUUUUGAAUAAAGUCGCCCUCAGUUUUGACUAUUCAUACAUUUGUUAUACACCUAAUAAAAAAAAACGCUGUCAGUGCAAUCGGUGAAUGGCAAAUGGCGAAUAGCAGUCCCAAGACCGAAAGUGUUUGUGAUUAAUUAUUCGCAAGCAUUGAGAUUAUUAAUAAACUCCAGCGAUACCAGAGCCAGAGGGUGGCCUUAAAUGGAUUAUCGUAUGAUAAUUAUUGAUAUCAAUUGAUAAGGUAAAAAUUUCAAGUGAGUUUCAAUUGUUAUCAGCUUGAGUUAGGGGCUUGGGAAGUGGUAUACAAAUGAUGGAAGGUGGUCGUGCUUAUAUUUUUACGGAUCGUGUCAUUUUUUUCUGGGUCGUGCUCAAGUUUUCCUUGUUUCGACUUUUGUGUCUCGAAUUUCACUCUCUUAACUGCUAACACAAACUGACUUCCCCCCUCCCUCCCCCAGUACUAGACACUCGGGUUACAUUCGUCAUAUGUCUUAGAAUCUGCAGGCUUUCUAAAAUUCUUAAAAAAGCUAAAACAAAUCAUGAGUUUUCAGUGGGCUUGUUUAUUCAACAAUCCACCAUUAGAUGAGAGACGGAAGACAGGCAGAAAGAUAACAGAUGUAUCACGUCAUCUGCUUGAUGCUUCGAAAUAAUAGAGUUUCGAUCCUUGUGGCCCACGAACAACAUAAAACUCCUCGCGCAAAGAGAAAGACGCGCACGGAUGUAGCUCCAUCAAGUACCUUAAACCUAAUAAUAUAAUGAUAAUAAUAAUGUUAAUCAUAAUAAAGAAAUAUAAAACAUGAGGCAAGCAUCUAAACAGUUUGAACUGAUCAUGUGUAAGCGUUGGCGAUAAAUGUUUAUUUUUGCAACGCGCCCAUGGGGUACUUUUUCUGUUACAUGUGCGACGGAAAACAUAAAGAUUGAUCGCUUCUAUUUACCGAAUGGCACUCUACCUAGCCCAUUAAUGUUUUCCACUCAAAGCAAAACAUUUUAGGAAAGCCACUAAUGCUAAACCUUUUAUAAAACUGACUUCAAUGGUGCCAAAAUACUAUACAAUAGGAAACACCUAUUGAUUUGAAAAAAAAAACACACAAAUGAUUUGAAAAAAAGAGUUCUCUUAAUUGACCGUGCUAUUAAAGGAACACGGGAUAAAAUGUGAAAACGAAAGGGAUUUCUUUUGACUGCACAAUCUAGACGCUGUAUUGCACAGCAGAAAUGUUAUUAGGACUUCCACUCCGUGUCCUAUAAAAUAACAUCAUGAAUCUUUUUAGACGACAGCUUGGUUAAUGAUUACUUUUAUCGUCGCAAGAAGUGAAAAAUUGCAAAAUGGCCCUCCUGUGCCAAAGAUUUCUGUGUCUCGGGUUCUCUUUGCUUCGCGGAACAAAGGAAACGAGCGACACGCUGCUUAGGAGGGUAUUACGAAAUAUGUUUAUAACUGAAUGAUCUAGUUAGAUAAUUGAUUUUUAUAAGUUUAUCCUUUUUGUCAACAGCAUGCAGCUUUGUCUUUAUUAGCGUAAUGCGAUGUAUAUUCAUGUGUGACUUUAAAUCAGCUCUUUUAAAAAUAUUGGGAAAUGGAAAAAAUGACUUUUUUGGCGUCUUUCUAGUUCUUUUUUUUAAUCAAAGAGCAGCGGGUUAAAAAAAAUUAAUAGUUCAGGUAGUACCAACAGGGUGUCGUGCCAGUAAAUUAACAGCAAAAUGAGGGUAAUUCGCCCAAGGAUAGGGAAAAAGUGGGAUUCAAAGAUAAUAUGGAAAAAGGAACAAGCAACAGGCUCUUAUAACGAUUGAAAAUCAAAACGUAUGUGGCGAACACAGAAUUAAUCGAUAAACAGUGCAGUCAUAGCUCCAGUUAUUCCACGUAAACGCGAUUAUCUAUCGUAAAUGAAAAUGUUUGUAAAAUCAAGCUAUUACAAAAAGUUAGAUUGCAGUGAUUGAAAAUGUAAGUUAAGAAGUUGAUAAUGUUCCUGUUUUCCUUCAAAAUAAGCUAACAUCCCCUUGACUUUCUCAUAUCCGAGUUAUUCCUCUUUCUUUUGGUUUUGUUUAUGUUUUAGACUUCCAAUACUUUAGACUUUUACCAUACAAGUUCACAAAGAAAAGGAGAUAUUGCUUUCAAAGGAAUACACAGAGUUUAUUACCACGGUUCUAACUAUUGGAAGUGUUUUUUCUUUCACAUAUGAUCUUUCAGGACAUAGAUGACAAUUAAAAGUGUGCAUUAUGAAUAAAACGACCUGGCAAAAAAGUUGCACCUGUUUUCUUUCAAUGAACGAUUAGUCACAAAUGGUUGUUAAGAAACCGUGGAAACCUGGGGGUGUUUUCUAACUCCUGUUAUUCAAGGGGUGAACAUAUAAAUGGAGAUUCAAGUUCCUCUUUCCUGCGCGUUACUUUACUAAAGAUUCCAGUAGCACAUAAAACGAGUAGCUCAUCAUAUCUCUGACUGGCAUCAUGGUGAAACCCAUUUUCUGUUUUGGUUUUCUUCUAAUUUUAGCUCUACAAGUUAUUUCUCAUUCAACGGAUGAUUACGGACUGAAUGGACAAUCGCUCGAGGACUCAGGAGGCCAACUCAAGCGAAAGGCUGACGACUUUAGACCACCCUGUGUAAAUGCUAUAUGUUCUAGGAGAAGAAGGCGGCGAACGAGCGCUAAAGCCAAAAGGAAGAUCGACACUCAAAGUCAAGUAGAGUUUGAGGAACUCGGACCUGAGGACACUUACGAACCUGCAGUCAUCGAACACUCAAAACAGUUCACAUAUGUUACACCAGUGGAUGAGCCUAAUACUAGACAUGCGCGACAUUAAGCGGCUAUAAAUCAUUCUGCAAUCUUAGUUCUAUGUUGUAUGCAUAGAUGGAAUGGAAUAACAUACAGAUUCUUCCAGCCUCCGGGACAGUUCCGAGGGGCUCGAAAGGACAUUGUUUGGACAGACAUUGGGUAUUGGGCAUCGACGUCCAGGAUAUAUUUUUCCAGAAUAAAAUCUGUAUAAUUUUAAAUAAGCUUAAUAAAAUGUUUGCAAACAGUUUCUUGGAAUACAGACCAGUCAAAAUUUCUUGUAUAUGAACGCAAGUCCUUCGAUCACACUUUUCUGUAAUCUUUUUUUCUCUCUCUAAAUCACAGGUCGCCCAGGCUCACGGCGAAUGUAGAACAGGUCUAUUUCAGAGUUUGUACGAGAGAGAUGAGCUUGUUGCAAUCUUGCUGAAAUAAAUAUUCUGACUUCGAAAAA